UAAGGAAUAUUGGUCAAUGGACGCAAGUCUGAACCAGCCAUGCCGCGUGAAGGAUGAAGGUCCUCUGGAUUGUAAACUUCUUUUAUCUGGGACGAAACCCCCUAAUUCUUUAGGGACUGACGGUACCAGAGGAAUCAGCACCGGCUAACUCCGUGCCAGCAGCCGCGGUAAUACGGAGGGUGCAAGCGUUAUCCGGAUUCACUGGGUUUAAAGGGUGCGUAGGCGGGCCGGUAAGUCAGUGGUGAAAUCCUGGGGCUUAACCCCAGAACUGCCGUUGAUACUAUCGGUCUUGAAUGUUGUGGAGGUGAGCGGAAUAUGUCAUGUAGCGGUGAAAUGCUUAGAGAUGACAUAGAACACCAAUUGCGAAGGCAGCUCACUACGCAACGAUUGACGCUGAGGCACGAAAGCGUGGGGAUCAAACAGG
rnacentral:rRNA from 1 species